CAUACGUACACCGCUCCGGCCACGACGAGCAAAGGCGCUCCAGGCUCCCGGCACGGCCCCACCUCCGAGGACCUAGACACUCCAAAUACACCUGGCUCCCCCAUACCUAGGUGCUGCACAAACACUUAAUGAAUUGGAACUGUACAUCCUCCAGUGACCAGGAAGGAAGGGAAAGGAGAGCAGAAUUGAGUGGCAAGAAGUCAUACAGCAGGACAGAGUUCCACAAACUAGCAACUCAGAACUGAGUGCUGGAAGAAGUGUUCCCAAUAAUCAAAGUGUUUUUUCUGUCCAUAUGAGCCCCGUCAGAAGAAAACAUCUGUAGAGCUGGAUUUGCCUCCAGCUGGUGCUUAGAUCCUGAAAGAAGACAGUGCUACAGGACUCAUUCAUUCAGUACAACUCAAAACCACAUGACUUCCUUGGAAAUUACUAUCUGAGGACUCUGCCAACCUGAAAGGAGAGGCAGCAGACUCAGCUGCUCAGGAGUUCCCCCAAACCUGUCUGUGGAGAGCACUUUCAGCCUGCUACCAUAGGACGCCCCCACCUUGGUCAUCUUGCGCAGCCGAUCCCGCUCCUCAAGCGGUGGCUGAGUCCAUCCUGCAACAGAAAUCCUGUGUUGCCUACCCACCUGAAAACACCUGAGCCUGCUCUACUGCAGAUUCAUCUCUCUCUGGGUCUUCCUUUUCUGCUGUGCUGGUGUUGGCUUUGAAAACCAAGAUAAACCAGGCAGGUUCCACUCUCCAUAGCUGGCUUUGAAGCUGCGGCCUUUCGUGCCUCCUCUGCUGAGGGAUGCAGCUAAGACACCUGAGCAGUGGCUUCUGAUGAGAAGGGAGGAAACCUGAGCAUUUGCAGUAGCUGUCGUGGUCAGGGGGAAAUAUUCAAUUAGGAAACCCCUAUGGAGCAAAGGUGGAACCCAGCAGGCAAGGAGUCAAAAUCUCUGCAAUCAGCACUGAUUUUUUUGACUGUUAUUUUGACAAAUGGGGUAAGAAUAAAAACCAUAAAAGGCUGCAGCAGGAGGCCUGAAACGGACUCUGAGCACUCUCCUUCUUCAGCAAUGAUGUGUUU